AAACAUUAUGUGAAACGUACACAAAAUUUCAUAGUUUAUGGAUCUAAUAUUAUACAAACGCCGUGGACAAGUUAUAAUUAGUAGCAUCACACAAAUAUAUAUAUAUAUAUAUAGGCACUAUAUAACCCCUACAAAAUUAGCUCAUAUUCUUGAAGUCUGACUGAAGUUUAGUAUUUACUACAAGAUGAAAGUCCACAGUAUUUUUAUUUCUCACAUUAUUUAUAAAACGAAAAUGAUAAAAUGUGACUCUCCAUAUCUUUU
rnacentral:lncRNA from 1 species